UCCUUAGGGAUUUAGUGGCGGACGGGUGAGUAACACGUAAGCAACCUGCCUCUAGGACGGGGACAACAGUUGGAAACGACUGCUAAUACCCGAUAUGCCGCGAGGUGAAACUAAUUGGCCUGGAGAAGAGCUUGCGUCUGAUUAGCUAGUUGGUGGGGUAAGAGCCUACCAAGGCGACGAUCAGUAGCUGGUCUGAGAGGAUGAGCAGCCACACUGGGACUGAGACACGGCCCAGACUCCUACGGGAGGCAGCAGUGGGGAAUUUUCCGCAAUGGGCGAAAGCCUGACGGAGCAACGCCGCGUGAGGGAGGAAGGUCUUUGGAUUGUAAACCUCUUUUCUCAAGGAAGAA
rnacentral:rRNA from 1 species